UACGAAGGGGGCUAGCGUUGCUCGGAAUCACUGGGCGUAAAGGGCGCGUAGGCGGACUCUUAAGUCGGGGGUGAAAGCCCAGGGCUCAACCCUGGAAUUGCCUUCGAUACUGAGAGUCUUGAGUUCGGAAGAGGUUGGUGGAACUGCGAGUGUAGAGGUGAAAUUCGUAGAUAUUCGCAAGAACACCAGUGGCGAAGGCGGCCAACUGGGUCCGAUACUGACGCUGAGGCGCGAAAGGCGUGGGGAGCAAACAGG
rnacentral:rRNA from 1 species